rnacentral:lncRNA from 1 species
GGGAUGGACAAGAAAGGUCUUUAGGAGAGAGAAUCAGUAAGACUUGAUCAUUGGUGGAGUAAGGGAGAUCUCAGGGUCAUAUCCAGCUUCCCCCUUUACAGUGAAUUUCCCAAACAGGUUCCUUCCUCUGUAAGUUUGAACGCCUAAUAACUGAAGAUUUUAGUGAAAUCACUCUGCUGUUGACCACAGCUGAUGGGUACGAGUACCAACACCUCCAUGGCACAUGGCACUCAUACAUAGAUUAUAAGAAGGAGGGCAAGGCAUUUCAGUUUCCCAACCAAGUCUGGGCUGUUACUUAUGCAUAUUGCUACUACUACUCUCUUUUCCACUCUCAAGUGUCCUGGUUUGAAUGAUAACUUUUAUGGUCACACUAGCUGCUUAGGGAAGGUAGUUGCCUCUACAAUUAUCUGAUAUUAACUCUGUCCAACAUGAGUGCCCAGUGUUUAAUUGUGCUUGUGCCUGUGCCAGUAGAAUCUAGCUUUUAGGAACACAAAUACUAUUUGAACAAAGAGAAUGGUUUACCCAAGGUGAUGCUGCUCGCCAUUGGCUGCAUAUUCCAGAGCCGGACAGAACUGUGAAUGAGAGUAAGACUGAGAAACCACCCCUCCCUGAUCCCAGGCCCUCCUACAAGCUACUUCCAUCACCAAGAAUCAUUUGAGUUAAUUUCUUUCUCAUCAUUAAUGAGCUGAAAUGACAAAAUUACCACCCUAUGGAGGCAGCAGCAAUGUCAAAGAGGUAGUGCCUCUAUUUUGUAAGGACUUGAAUUUCAUGUAUAGGAAAUUGCACUAGGAGAACCAUGAAGGCUUCUCAACAUGUAAGGAUGAGUCACAGAAGCCAGCAAGACUCAAGACCUGACGUUAUGCAAUGUCCAAGAGCUCAGAGCUGGCAACCGAGAAAGGAGAAAUAAGCUCUUCUGCUGAUUGUGAACAGGAAUGGAGACCUACCACCAAAACAUCUCUUAAAUCCAUCCACCGGUCCCACACUUUGAAGAUAUUGCAAACUUGGAAAGUAAAAGAGAUUUUCUAAGUGUAAUAAUUUUAAGACCUCGGGGCUCAAUACUGUCUUUGCAAAAUCAUCAAUUUCCAUGUUUCUUACUUGUUGGUCUAAGCUUUCAAUGGGCUAUUUGUCUAUAAAUUACAGCAAUUCCUGUACCUUCUCUCUACCCUACCUUUCUGUUGGCAUAGUAGUUAUAAUUCCACCAGACAUUUCCUUAAAAGACUAGGUGAUACUGUAAUCUGAGAGAUGUUCAAGAAAGCAGGCUAAGUUUUCACAUCAGUGACACAUGGUUCUGAAUAAUUGAGAAAAAGCUUUCUACUAUGCCUCUAGAAUUUGGAGUUUUUUUUUUUUUUUUUUUCCAUUUAGCUAUUGCGUCCCGUGAAAUGUCAUUGAGGCUCUCUUUUCUCUGUUGGCUAUUAGCCACCACUCAGAAAGAAAACCUCCAAGUUGGGGUGGAAGGUAGAUCUCAGAUGGAUCCAGAGAAAGUCUAGAAGCUUCGUCAAAGGACUCCUUGGACAAAGAGAUUCCUUGACCAUAAUUUGAUUCACUGGGAGGCAGAAAAUCGAGUAAUAACUGGCAACUCAAAAAAUUGCCAGCUCUAUAAUGCAAUGAUACAUCUUCAGAAAUUGAGAAAAGCAUUUACACAAAUAUGUACCAAGCACCAGAGACUCAGACAACUUUCUAUCCUCCAAAGUGUAAAUUUAAUAUGUAGAUAGACAGUAAUGCAAAAGAAAACAAUGCUACAAUAAACGGAGAAGGCCCCCAGAUACUGAAACCCAAUGAAAAUAUCAUUAUUGACAAAGUUGACCUAAGUAUAUUGGAAAAAGUGGUACUGACAUUUUCUGUUCUUUCUUUCUCCUUCCAUUUUUUUCCCCUUAAAACCCAUAGCAACACAAAGCCUCCGGCUGGGUUAUGAGGAACACUAUUUAUUCUCUCCCACCCCCCACCUGACCUGAUUAGUCAGAACGCUUUGAAUGAUUAGUUUUCAAUUUGCACCACUGCCAGAGAGAAAGGCCUCCAAAUUAAGGGUGGCAUUGACUGUUUAUGCCUCUGAGAGUCACAAAAAAAAUUUCAGCAAUGCUAAAAGAAAUGCUGAUCCUCCGAAAGGAUUUUAUUUAAUGAAUUUUUGAAAAAUUAAGGGUUUUGGAAACUUGCCAAAACAUGUUUAAAAUUCCACUUACAAGUUUAUCUGCCUGGAGAAUUUGAGUGGUGAGGGCUUUGUCAUUUCUUAGUGUAAAAAGCUCUGACCUUGAAUUCUGGGAGCCUUGGACCCACCAGCGGGGAUGUUGACAGAAUUAGAAUUCUGGCUCAAAUGUAGGGCCCGACUGCCACCCUGACUACCCCUUAAAACAAACGAGGUGUGUCAUCACUCUCCCAAAUGCCUCUCCAGGUGGUUUAUUCUCUCUGCUUUUGGAAGCCACACUUAGGGGAAAAAAAGAGAAAAUGUUUCAAUAAAUAUUGGUCUGUUUGGUUGGCACAGAGGGAUGGGAAUUUGCACAGUUUUGUUGGGCACAUUUUCCUUAACUCCUUGCCAAGGAAGUUCGAAUGCUGUGCCUCAAAAGGAAGAAGGCAACCACAGAUUAGAUGACUAUUCUUUCCAACCUACAUUGAUGCUAAAGGAAUGCAGCAUGUCUUUGCAGCAAGAGAAGGACCACAUUAGAAGCCAGCUCACUUGCAUGAUUGACUUCCCCCAUGUUCAAACUGGCCCAUCCAAUGAUGUAGCUUAUUCAUGACAGCAUCAUGCAGAGAAUAACAGCUCACUAAGGACUUGUGAACAAUGUUCAGGGAUAAGGAGCAGACUCAUUUCUGUUCUUGUUGAAAUUUGAUGACUAUGGUUUAUGCCACGGCAAAUGAAGGUUCAUUAGAUUUCAAAGCAGUUCCCAUUAUAUAAAUUGGAGCUGAAUGCUCAUUUUUUCUCAUUCCCAUCUUAUCUUCUCAACUCUUUUAUGUGCAUUUAGCCAAGUAGUCAUGCUCCCUCUCAAAUGCCCACAGGCUUCUUGGUUAAUGCUUCCGCCUGGGUUGGCACAGGAGAGAGGCGUCAACCUUAAAUGACACCUCAUUUGCAUGAGGUCCAGUGAGAUGACGAGAGAUGGUCACAACAAGGAACUUGUGGACCUCUGGUAAUGGAAGACACCAAACUCAUUGAGACUUGGUAUCUAGCAUUUGGAGACCUACAGGCACCCCUGAAAGCAUCCCUGGGCUCAGACCAGCUGUUGGUAGGUGAAAGAAAUCAAGGUUGGUGCUCCACUUUGCAGUUAACAUGAAACAAGCACUGUGCCAUGUAACAGGGCUCUGCAGUCAUCGUCUACAAAACCCCAAACCUUACCACGGAUCAUGUGUUCAUUAUGAAUUACGGCGGGGUAUUUCCAAUUUUUUUCCCUACUCAGAACCACAGCCCUACUAUUCAUAGCUGAGUGGUGGGAUUUCUGGAACUGCUGCUUUGACCAUGUGGUACAAAUACUCACAGGGACCCAAUAACUUAUUUCCAAACACAACAGAAAGAACUGACACUUGUCAUCUGCGUUUCAUACCAACUACACCAAUAUGACUGAUUUCCCUAGAUUGUACCUCAGGUCAUCUCCCGUUCUUGGUUUACUUAUUUAGUUUUGUGGUUGGCCAUCCUCUUUACCCAAUGCAUGGGAUGGUUUUCUUCUUAAUUAUGUUGUAUUGCUCAGGUCCAUUUAAAAUCUCAAGAACUAGCUCUUGCAUAAAGCUUUUCUGGAAUCAGUGGUUCCACUUUUCAGGCCAGAAAUAAUAGCCUAUAUUUCAGUUAAAAUUUCUGUGACUGUAUUUCCUAGUAGAACACAUCACCUGAUACAGUGAAAGCCCUUGAAAACUGUCCUUAAAAGGUACUUAAGUUGCCUAGUAGUUUAUCAAACUGGGUUGGGUGAUAAAGGUAGUGGGUCGUAUAAGAAGUUCUGACAGAAAAAGUAUUUUAUUGCUGGCAUUAUUUAGAAUUACUGUGCAUGAUCAUAAUGAAAAGAAGGUCAGUUUUCAUUUGGUUUUAUAAUUGUAUUAAAAUUCUUUACAGACAAAGAACCCCCUUAGCCUAUGUCACCUUGGGCAGAGUUCUCCCACCCUGUCCUUGUAUGCCACUUUUAAAGUCCAAAAUAACCAGCUUCUAUUCAAAAACAAAACAAUUCUGUAAAAUCCUCCUGAAUAAAGCACACAUUUUACCUGUAGUCAAAGAUUUCUAAGAUGGUAGGGAAAAGAGCCAAACUCUGUGUACAUAGCAAUUACAUUAUUCUCACAAAGACGCAAGACUGCAAGACAUGCAUGCUGACUUUCACACCCUAGCUUAUUCCUUCUCUGUUAAUACACAUCAAGCAAAUCACUUAGAGUCUAUAAAAUCUCACACUUCCCCUUAAUUUGAUAGUUUUGUUUCUACUACACACAGCUUAAUUUCUUUUGGGGUUUCCCCUUCCUUAGGUAAAACUAGUAACUCAACAAGAAAUGAUCAAACCAAGUGAAAAUAUUUUUUUCUUGUCUUUUUCUGGGACUUUCCUGAGACUCAGGGCUCCCCAGACACAAGGUCAUGUCUGUUCGUUUACCUUGUCACUGAAAAUAUUUCAAUCACUCUUUUGAUGGUAACUCUUCCCCAGUGUAACAGUUAGGGAAGCAUCGGGAAUAUGGAUGGAGAUGUGUCUGUGUGCAGACAGGUGCAUGAGAAGGCUUGAGGUCAGACCCGAAAUGACACGCAUCACCCUGCUCAUCGAUACCACUCACUGGCAGAACUCCGCCACCUGUAACAUGCGGCAGCAGUGCUACCUCUGUCAGAGGCAAGACUUAAGCUGCUAAAAGCCAAGAAUCAGCAGAUCCCACACAUGCUGGUGAACUUCUUCCUUUGGUUGAGAAUUUUAAAAAUCAAGGACCAUCGGUAGCAAUUCACUUAAAAAUCGUUCAGUUUUGUAUUCGCCUUCUAAAUAAUCAGUUUAUACACCUAAGUAUCUUUGAUCACACAAGCUCCCUGCAUGUGUAAGUGUACAGAAAAAAAUUUGGUUUCAUGUGGUUUUCAGAGACCAAAGAGAGAACAUGUAAACAUUUACAACGAGCAAACAGAGCCUAAAUUCAUUAUCUUGGUACAAAAGGCUUUGGAAUAAAUGGAGAAAAUUAUCUGUCUUGAGUUUUCCAUGAAGAACUUGACUACUGCAUGUCACCCAGAAAGCACAGCAACCAAUAUAUAAGCUCUCACCAAUCAAUCAUUGCAAGGCAGUGGCUCAUACUGUGUUCUAAUUCUCAGCAUUUUUACUUUACCAGAAAUAAACACUGGUACAGAAGCUUUGGAGAUGUGGUUCAUUCUUUUAGGUGCAAUAUGAGAACAAUGGUGACUAAUGGGCUACAUUCUUAAGACCAGAAGAGAACGUUAGAUUAAUAAGCAAAAAGAUGUAAUUAUCCCCAAAUAAUAGGCAUCAGCAAGCCAGGACUCUGCAGAGAUGGAUUGCUUCUGCACGCCAAAGAAACUCAUGAAAUCUUUCCCCGGCUGUGUCUCAAGAUAAAGAGAUCUCACAGACACACACAUUAAGAAAAAUAAAGCAGCAGGUCCCUUUUACUUAGGUGUGCUGUUUCUACCCCUGAUGAUAACUGAUUACAUUACAGGAAAGUUACGUAGGUAAGUCAUUCUGCAUUAAGUCUCAGUGCUUAAACAGGAUGUUUCUGAACAUUUAACCUCUUACCACAGAAUGAAACAUAGCAGCAGGCGCCAAAACGAAGAAUGAAUGAAUAAGAAACCAGAACGGUCCUCCACUUACCUCCACAGCGUAUCUGGGUUUCAUUCAGUGAGUGUUUUGGUCGAUUGUCUCUUUACCUUGAUUUUGGCAUCUAGGUCACCUCGCUGUUGGUGGUGGGACCCCUUGUACUUAGAAGUGCAGUAGCUUAAUACCUAUACAUAUGAGGAAUAGAACAUAAAACGUCAGGACUGACAUACUGUCCAGACCCACUCCCUAGCCAGUGACUCCAAUUAACAGAAUUUGCAUUUCUAACAAGUUCCCAGGUGACGCUGAUGCUGUUGGCCUGGGGUACACUUUAGGAACCAAAGUAUUAAACUGAUAAACACCACCACCUAUUUGAACAUCGUCUGUAUGCCUGGGAAUACAGAAUAAAUUUUGCCUUUAAAGAGCCAGAGAGGCGUUCCCGUCGUGGCUCAGUGGUUAACGAAUCCGACUAGGAAUGAUGAAGUUGCGGGUUUGAUCCCUGGCCUUGUUCAGUGGGUUAAGGAUCUGGUGCUGUUAUGAGCCGUGGUGUGGGUCGCAGACGCGGCUUGGAUCCCACAUUGCUGUGGCUCUAGCGUAGGCCGGUGGCUAAAGCUCUGAUUAGACCCCUAGCCUGGGAAUCUCCAUGUGCCACAGGUGCAGCCAUAGAAAAGACAAAAAAAAAAAAAAAAGAGCCAGAGAUGUCACCCAAACCAUUGCACUUUCAUAUUAAUAUUUGUCAUAUCAACAUUUAAAAUUUUUGUUAUAUUUUGUAUAACAUAAAAUUUUUGAUAAAACGCUGGUAAUUUCUAAGGGCUUACAGUAUAAAAUUUAAAAGUUAAAGUUAAUAAUUGAUACCUUUCAAAUACUCUUGUUUAUAAGACAGUAAAAAUCAGGUAGAAUAAGUCACAUAAAUAUGAACUCACAAAUGUGAACAUUAAUACUAAUAUGAAAAUCCUUUUUUCCUUUCUUUGCUGGAAAAUAAAAUAAUACUAGGGAUACAUUUAUUUAAAAUCUUAACCUCAUUUUCUCCC